CAAGCUGGGAACCUGCCACUAUAGCGAAGCUGGAUCCCGUCUGGCUUAAAGACAUGAUUUCUCUUUUUUUCUGUCGGUGACCUCCCGUCUGGACCUCUCAACCCCAAAACAAACACACCAUUGAGGUCCUUUGUGUCCGGCUGUGGUUACUUCCCACCCUCCUGUUCUGCACCCCUCGUCCUUCUUUUUGAUGCUUUGCUUUAAUCCUUAUUUUUUUUAAAAUUCACCAUUAAAAAAACCCAUAGCCUUGUUAUAUGGUUCAGGCUAGCCCAGGCAAACCUUUAACUUGCUGCAAUGCUCCUGCCUUAGCCUCCCAAGGGCUGGAUUACAAGGCAUGCGCUGCCACGCCUGCUCCUCGAAUCUGGGGAUUUUUCUAAUUUCAUUCCCUGUCUUGUAGCUGGAAUGUAAGCUCCGGAAAAACACUGGCAUAGUGCUGUAUCCCGAGCGUGCAGGAUGCGGCACAUUUUGGGCGCUCCACAGAUACUGAUCACAUGAAUUCUGUAGGAAAUGCGUUUUUGAAAGUUGAGGAUAGUUAGAGGAGUCAGAGCUUCAGGUCCUCUCACAAGACCGCCUAUAAACACCCUCCCCACCCCCACCUCAGCAUAAGUGUUGGUUGGGAAGGCUCCUACCCAUUGCUGUGCAGGAGGGGAGGCAGGUCAUGGAGGGAAAUGUUUUAAACCUGGACCCCAACCCCUUUCCAGCUUUGCAAAGAAAACAGAACUUAGUAAAGGUACCCUGGAGCAGAGGCCUUUCAUGACUCAACAUGUUGUGAACAUGGGGACAGGUGUGCCGUGGUGGAAUCAGUCCGGCCUGAGUUUGAGUAUUUCUGUGUGAUCUUGAAUUAUAACCCUAAGUCUCCAUAUCCUGGUCAGCAAAGUAGAGAUCUUCUAGCUGCCUCAUGAUGUUCCUGAAGAGGUAGAGAUGGAGCCUGGAGCCUCAUGCAGCUUGGCAGGUGCCACCGCGCUACUUCUUCAGCCUCCAAGUUGCUCGAUUGAUCUAAACCCAGGGGUGCAUUUCCAGGCCUCACACGUCUCUGCUUGGGCAGACUAGACCACGCGCACUUGGAGAUCACAAGGCACGGGAAGUUACCUGGCGGUAAACGGAAAACAUAAGGGUUUUCUCAUCUCAUCUGUACCAUGAGGGCGGAGCUGGUGAAAUCCUGGAGAUGGAAGGCCCCAGAGGACAAGCUCAUCUUCUUGUGGCAUCCACAGCAUCGUGAGCGGUCCACACAGGCCUUCUCCCCAUCAGGCUGAGUGCAUGUGGACCCGGCCGCACCAUCACAGAGCUUUUUCACAAGCAGUGUGAUCCGGUGCUUCUUGCCCUUGAGGGCUGCAAAGACCACAGGAAGAGCUAUCCCUGGACACCCAGCUGGAGACCCCAGGGAUCCUGCUGCACUGAGCUAUCCCUGGACACCGUUCAUGGGAGGGCCUCAGGAAGGAUGGCAGAAGGAACUAAAUCUCUGAAGGACUGUAGAGGAGAAGCUGGGCACCAGGGCACCUCUUAGCUGAAGUUUGACCCUUGAAGCCUUACACCAAAGGAUGGAAGACCUGACCCAGCUGGGACCUCAAAAGCCUCCACCAAGGUGGGAGGUAAACAGCAGGCUUGUUACAGGAGGGAAGGAAUAGUGCCUGUUAUAGCACUAUUCAGUGUGGGUGAGAAUCUUGGCAGUGCCCAGGGAAGAGGACCAGGGGUAGACACUGGGACCUCUUGCUGCUGGCACAUGCCCAGGAUAUUCUGUGGGCUGCAGAUGUGUUCUGCAUCAGGGCUGGCCUGUAGCAAUUGUGGGGAGAAUGAGACGUCAUGGUCCCUGAGAUGGGGGCAGGUGCAGACAUGGGGACAGGGGUUCCCUCCAUUCUGACUCCUGGAAAGCUUAUGCCCAGAAAGCACUUCUGGGGCUGGAAUUCAGGGAGGCUGAGAGACACAGGGGUCCUUGAGUAUAACUGUCAAGGGGCCCCCUCGUCUCCUCUUCUGAUUGGCUACAGAUGUACGGUGGGCUGAGGGUUCUUCCCAGGUUUGGAGCAAGGCAAUCAAGGCCAGGGUGAAGCUUCCUGUUUUGCAGACCAAGGGCUACCUGUGACCUGCUCAGGAUUCUGGGGCUCAGGGAAUGACAGCGCGCAUCAUGGCUGGUGGAAAGCAGUGAGUGGUCCAGGAGACCUUAGGAGCCUGCAACAUUGGCUCUUAGGGUCCCCUUUCAAGUGUUUCCAGUUGUGGCAAGCAGUCAAGGAAGAUCUUGUAUUGCAAAUCUUGCAGAAAAACUUGAGUUUGAAAAAACGACAACAAAAAACCAACUAAUCCAGAAUGGCUUCCCGAAACCUGGUCCCCUCUGAACGUGAGGCCCAGGGUCAGGAAGCCAGGAGCAGAGUGCCGGGGAACCCCCAGGGCAAUGGGGACUUUUGGCUUUGACACUGAGCUUUGUCUUCAGGUGGAAGCGAGUGGCUGGUUCCAUCCACUGGAAACAUACGUCAUCCCCAGAUCUGAGGGGCUUUGUUCCUUGCCCACGGAUGGAGAGGCCACCUGCUGGGACAUAUUGCUGCUAAAGGACUCUCAUUUGCCACAGGCUGUGUGGUCCAGGCCUCAGGGACCCUGUAGCCUGGAGCCCAGGGAGGAUACAGGCCACGAAAGGGUCACUUGCUGCUGAGUGUCUUAACUUUUGUGGCAUUGAUGUCGGCCUUGGUCUUUUGGAUUCUGGCAAAGAUCUCCUUGAAGAGCGCCUUGUAUUCAGGCUGGCUCUGCUCCAGCCGCUUGUCCACAGCCUCCACGUGCUGGCUCAGGCUCUUCUCCCCACCCUGGCCUUCCUCGCCCCCUCGCAGGUCCCUCCACGAGCUGUCUCGGGAGAUGGGCCGCGAGGUCUGCACACCCGCGUGCCGCACCCCCGCCCCAUGCUGUCGGCACUUGCUCAGCAGCUCUUCGUAUUUCUCCAGCAGCGCGUGGUACUGCUCAUCCACCUCCCGCAGGAUGGACAUGCCGCGCCUGCGCACGCUGUUGGCGUGCAGCGUGAGGCUGCCUGCGUGCCGACCGGCGGGGUCUUUGGCCACGAUGGCGUUGAGCGCCGUGUCACUGCAGCUCUUGCGCACAGCAUGGCCUGGGGAAGCAGCGGGCGAGGCGACACCGUCCGGUACGCUAGAGUCGUCUCCACUACCUGGCUGAGGGUCGUCAGCCUCAGGAACCUGAGUGAGGGGUGCCAGCAGCGCCUCGGCCAGGUGGUCAUCCCGGCCCAGCAGGUAGGUCUUGGCCUGCUUCAUCUGCUGCAGCUCCAGGAUCUCGGCUUCCAGCUCCUGCACGCGCAGGCGGCAGCCCUCCAUCUCGCACAGCUGCCGUUCCAGCUCCGUGUACUCCUGCAGCACGGCCGUGUACUCGCGCUCUGCCCGCUCCUUGCGCUGCCGCUCCUGACUCACCUGAGAGCGCAGGACCUCCACCAGGGUCUGUAGCCGCUCGUUCUCCUGCUCCAGGGUUCGAGGGCCCAGCUCCAGGGAGGAACUGUGCAGGCGGAAGGCAUCCUCGCACCUGCCGAGAAGCAGGGCAGGUGGUCACGGGCCAGGCCUCCCAGCCCAGCUGGCUAUUCUGUCUCCGGUAAUCUCCACCCCUUUUUCCCGCUGGAGGCUGACCACUGGGGCCUCAGCCAGGCAGGAGUGUUUUCUCCUCAUGCCUUGCCCCUGUAUGGUCCAGCCAGGCAGUCCUCUCCAUCCUGUCUAAAUUUCAGUGAUUUCCCUCAGCUUGGCCCAAGGCCUAAGGAUGUAGCCCUAGGAUGCUGUGGUUUCCAUUCAGUUGCUCUUUUCUAUUAAACUCCCCUCUGUGCAAGGAUUCUAACUUUUAUUUCUAUUUUUAGUUUUUUGAGACAGAGUCUCGCUAUGUAGUCCGGGCUGGCUUCGAAUUCACUGUGUAGCUCAAGCUGGCUUGGAACUCGAGGCGAUCAUUCUGUCUCAGCCUCCUGAGUGCCACCAUGCCUGGCUAAGGACGCAAUUAAAGCACUCCCACUAAAUACAUGA